GAUUUAUUUCACAAACGAAGUGACUGGACUGUAAUGGCAAUAAUUUUAGUUGGAUAAAAAUUAGUUUGCUUUCUAAUUUUUUUUUUUUUAACUGAGUCCCUGGGAGUUUGCCAGGUGAGUAAAAUGUUAGUCUGAAAAAAUUUUCGUGGUGCUCUAUUAACUAAUCAAGUGUUGUCAUCUUUUAUGUUAUUUGCUUUCCAAAACCAUGCCCAGAGGAAGAAUAAAGUGUUAGGUUUUGGAACUUUGUUCUACAUGUUUAUCUAAUAAAGUUAAUACAAUGUUUAAGCUUUUUGUUAAUUAAGAAAUACUAAAUUAAUUUCCAGAAAAGAGUCUCAUCGUGGAAGGCAAGAGGGAAAAGAAGAAAGUAGAGAGGCUGACAAUGCAAGUCUCUUCCUUACAGAGAGAGCCAUUUACAAUUGCACAAGGAAAGGGGCAGAAACUGUGUGAAAUUGAGAGGAUACAUUUUUUUCUAAGUAAGAAGAAAACCGAUGAACUUAGAAAUCUACACAAACUGCUUUACAACAGGCCAGGCACUGUAAGACUUUUUUACACUUUAAACCUACUUGUAUAUUACUUCACAAUGGAAUCAGUUUCUGUAAAUGUUAGUGAUCCACUAGUUCAAUUUCCACACUUUAUGACUGAGCAGACUGAGAUAUAUAUUUAUUAAAUGAUUUAUCACAGGAAAUAUAGCUGAAUAUUAGCAGUUGGAUUAUAAUAUCCAGGGCUCUGUCCCUUU